UAGAGUAAUACAUAAGUAACCUGCCCUAGACAGGGGGAUAACUAUUGGAAACGAUAGCUAAGACCGCAUAGGUACGGACACUGCAUGGUGACCUAUUAAAAGUGCCUCAAAGCACUGGUAGAGGAUGGACUUAUGGCGCAUUAGCUGGUUGGCGGGGUAACGGCCCACCAAGGCGACGAUGCGUAGCCGACCUGAGAGGGUGACCGGCCACACUGGGACUGAGACACGGCCCAGACUCCUACGGGAGGCAGCAUG
rnacentral:rRNA from 1 species